UUGGAGGCUGCUGAUUUUGGUGUGUUGGUGCUGAGCUUUACUGGGUAGAAAAACACUCCUGCUCUGACCCUGCAAACGCUGCUGAGGAGCUUUUAUUUUUUCCCGACUUCCCAUCCCCAGAGGUGUUUGUGCUGCAGCCUCUGCUCCUGUGUUUUUGCAGAAUCAUUUGAAGAAAUAAUGUGUGAGGGGGGGAAAAAAUUACCUCUGGCAGUCGUGUUAUAAUGGCUCUGGUGCUGACAGCCCUUUGGGAACAGUGGCAGCAGCAGGGUUGGAUAAAUGAGGAAAAAACAGGUGCAUGUCUUUGGUCUGCCUCGAGUGACACAGAUCCUGGACAAAGAUGGAAACAAAGAAAUCCCCUGAUCUGGAUCAACAAAGCUGGGACUUCAAGUUGCCCAAAGCUCUGGAAAGUCACUAUAAACGUGGGUGUCUCUCUGUAUCUUAAACUCCGUUGCAACCACAGCACUCUUAUGCUGUGUUCUGGUAAAAUCUCACUGCCCUGCCUGUGGCUCCAGGCAAAAUUCUGAGCCAGAUGAUGAACUUAGUUCUGCUUCUGCUGAAGUCAUAGGGACCUUCUGAUGUUAACAAGAAUGCCAGAGGAAACAGGUUUCAAAAUGGUCAGCACAAAAAGAACAGCCAAAUCCUGAACAAUCCAGUCCUAGACAUGGAAAUCUGCACACUUGCAACUCAUGAAGUACUGAAUAUCCAAUUCCCCAACUGGGAAAUUGCCUGGGAUUUUGGAGGGCAGCCUUCAAAAGAGCUUGUGCACCUUUAAGUAGAAAUCCCAAGAUGCAAAGUCCUCAGUGUUUAUGAAAGUGUUUAAAAGGAGAUAUAGAUUCCAGAGCCACUUAAAUACUUCUGAUAAUAUUCAGUCUUGAUUCAGCAAAGCGUGUGACAACUUUAGAAGGUAUUUAAAUCCAUUCCAUGUAAUAUGCUUAAACUCAUCCUCUCAGAGGGAGGGAGUGCCUGCCUCUGGAUUUCUCCCUUCACUCUUCAAUGGGAGACAAGUACUUACCUCUCCCUGAAGCCAAUAGCAGCUGAUUAGAUGUUUAAUGCUUUGCUGAACUCACAAUGUAAAAAUCAUA